UCACGUCUGUACGGAAAACAGGGCGAGGUACGGGCGCGCCUGCUUGUUGUUGUUCUUCCUGUUUAGCUGUCUCUCCGUGUCUCACAUGUCUCACUACAACACGGGCAUCGGCAACAAUGUGCCGUCUCUUCUUGACAUGUGCAGCGGUUUAACCGCGUUCUUGGUGGACUUCAUUCAAGUUGUGCUUGGCCAAACGCAGACAAGUUUCCAGGCGGCGGCGCCCGAGGACAGCGACCCGGGCGUGUACGACCCCGAUACGCGAAGUUGGUCCGGCACGGAUGGGCUACGGUACCGGGUUCCUCUCUUUUCGAUCCCUAGCGAGCGUCACACGCGCGAGAAAGUGCGCAACGUGAAGAUCUUGAUGGACAACUGCCGCCACAUCUGCAUGUCAGACGAGCUGCCGGCGACCAAGGAAGAGAAGAGGUUCUGGGCCUCGUACCGGUUCAUCCAGUACCAGCUGUUUCUGGCCCCUGCCUGCGUUGUGGCGCCGCCCGUGUACGUCUUCUUUAAAGUGUUUCAUGACAAGCUGCCACGCUUUCUCCGCGGCCGCACGAUGCCCAUCUUGACUGGCCUCGCCGUCGCCGAGAUGUGGGCGGAGGCGACCUACCCGAGUCACCAGCUACUAUCCACGGCGCUGCGCGCCAAGACGCCCAUGGGCGAUGCGGCGCGGGCAGAGUGGACACGCCUGCAGCCCAUCGAUAUCCCCUUUUACAUAUUCAGCUCCUACCAAUUUCAGCAGCUCUUCAACUCUGUGCCGGAGGAGUAUCUCUUCGGCGGGGAUUUGGCCUCGCUCUGCGGUUGAGAUCUGACUUGAGGCGAGUCGAGCAACGAAGCCAGACGCCACCGAGGAAGCGAGGCUUAUGUACGUGUGGGGCGAUGACGCGGAUCCCCGUGCGGCGAACCUCGGCGUUGCUCGUCGUACUUUGGACGUUCGAUUUGAAUGCGUGCCGGCGCACACGGAUGGUCGGAAGUGUGCGCAAGGCUCGCCAUUCUCACGUUGUCUGUCUACGUGGAACGUCGUCUUUGUGUCUGCCUGUCCUGUCUGCACCCGUGCGUCGCCCUUUCUCCCGCCCUCUCUCUAUGCAUAGGCAUGCGCGUGUGCGCGAGGUGGGAGGGUGAUGGGGAGGGAGCCUCGAGAGGCGCGGAGACGCGGUUACUUCUCACCAAUUAAACGUGCGCGCUAACCAGGCAUGAUGUGCCUGGCAACGAAGG
rnacentral:misc_RNA from 1 species